CCUAUAUGUUCAAGAUUCAUAUUUAUGCAAACAGAAAACAGAAUUAUCUACAGAAGUAGUACCCUACUUCACAAUAUCCACAUAAAAAAUGCUGAAAACUUGUUAUCCACACAUUAAUAUACAAAAACACAUUGAGCCAUAUACAACCACAGCCGACGAUCACAAAUUUACAAUACAAAAACAAAAUAUAUGUUUCAUUUUUUUUCCCCACUUUUUGUUGUGUUUUCUUACAAACUAAUAACUCAGCGGUGUUUCUUGGUGAAAAAGCAGGUGCUCGGCAGUCAAGUGUUUUUCUCUAAAACAGAUAAUGCAGGUGUCAAAUAGUUGUUAGCUUUGUCAGGCAGAUGUGCUACCAGCUCAUAGAGCUCCCUCCCUUGCUCAGCAACGUAUUCAUAACAAACCUGCACAUGAAUAAAAAUUUAAAUUGCAUCACUUAAAAUUAUUCCCAAAACCAAACACAGUGUUACUCACAUCAAAGCUUUUGUUUCUUGCCGUUGAAUCGUGCAACGCCUUCACACAGAUAUCGGCCACAUCGGCACAGCUAAUGCUCUAAAUAAACAACAUUUAUCAGGAUCUGACUGAAGUACAGUUAUGUAUUGCCUUCUGUCUGAAGAAAAACAAAUUUUCACCUGAGAAAUCCUGUUUCCUUGGUCAAAUAUGAGUGCGCAUUGACCACCAGGCUCUUCCUUUAGAGGACCAGGACGAAUGAUUGUGUAUCCAAGGCCUGACCGUCUCAACAAGUCUUCCCCAGCCCUCUUGGCUUUCAGAACUUGCUCCCUUCUGUUAGGUUCCACCCCCAAUCCUGUACAUGAGACUAAGACAAAGUCUGUUUCUUGCCCAGUAGGCAAAGCUUUUAUAUAUUCCAAAAUUAGCUUAAAGCUUCUCAGAUCUUGCUUUGUUCCUGCAGGCCCUUCAACAGGUCUCUGUCUUCGAGGCUCAAAGCGUAAGGUCAAUGUGUGUACAAGGAAUGGGUCUAAUAGUGGAUCAUCUGGUUUAACAGGGCGGAAGGAUGAAAAUGGCACUCUGACCCUACAAUAUCCUACUUUUGUGCUAAUCCUUGCAAAAUAAAAUUUGCUUUGAGUUGUAUCAGCUGAAGGUCCAGCUUCAAGAAUUAAAACAUAGGAUCUUCCAUUUCCUCCAACAGAGAGCACCAGACCCUCAUACCUGUCGAGAGUGUAACCCAGAGGAAGAGAGAGCUUUUUUGACAGUUCGACAUACCCUCCUCUGGUGAAAACAUAACCUGAGAAAACUGCAUCACCAGUCUCCGUGAACUCAAAUUUAGCAUCCAUUCCUGCAUCAUACUUCGAAGCAACUGCAUCUUGGAAAUAAGUUCCUUUACGGAUUUCCCACCCAUUCAGUGAAUUUGGAGAUUUGAACUUUGCAAGCAGAAGUUUGCUUUUGCUGCUUUUUCCUGCUCUAAGUUGUGCUAGUUUGUUGUUAUAGUCCUGAAACGCUUUGGUGAGGUUGGAAACCCCUUGAUGAUCAACUCUGAAGAGAUCGCCGGUGAUGGCAGAACGAGCAGUGGCACAAUAGAUAAUUUUGUUGCAGCCCUCCACAGCAGCCUUAAGGGUGGAGGGAUCGCCCACGUCCCCAAUCACAAUCUCUACUAACCUAGGGAGCGAGUCAAUCACUUCCUGAUCAGCCUUUCUUACCAAAGCCUUGACAGUGUAACCCCUGAGCAUAAGCUUUCUAACAACAAUGCGACCAAUACGGCUGGUGCCUCCAACAACAAGGACAGUGGUAUUCUGAGCACCAGGGAUGGCAAACUCGCACAUGGGGCCCUCCCUUAUGAGCAACGCAUCAAAAGCCUCCUUGUCAUCGGCACGAGUAGUCCUGGAUAUCUGGCCCAACCCAGAGAACUUCCUCCACACCUCGUCGAAUAUCUGCCUGGACUUCCUCCCUAGACCCACCGGGUUCACGUCCUCCAAACUUAGGGAUUGUUUUUGCGUUCUUGAGGCUUCGUUAUAUUCUGUUUCAUUGUCUUUCUCGUUGCUGGAGGCUCUCACAGAUAUGGAUUUCCAAGUUUUGCAAUUGGUCUUAGACUUGGUAGACGAGAGAGCGAUGAAUUUGCGAUGGGAGCUGAAUUUGAAGUGGGUGCUGUGGCUCAAACUGGUACUUGUCGCUGUUGAAUUUACAGUUGGUGAUCCUCUAAUCAUCUUGCCUUUUGCUAUUUGCCUAUUAAUUAUGGUUCCUUCGCAGCACAACAGAAACAGACAGAACAAGAGAUUGAACUAUUUUUCCCACAACAAAUAAAAAGUGAACUCGCAGACGCUUAGAACAGUAUUUGAUGCAAAGCUUUUGAUUUUGUCUAGUUGAAGAUUCGAACUUUCCCCAUUACAGUGAAUAUUUAUGGGUUGUUAGUUGCGGAUGCUUUGUAUGUUUCUGCUCUUUUAUGAUAAAUUAAAAAAAAAAAAAAAAAAA
rnacentral:misc_RNA from 1 species